rnacentral:rRNA from 1 species
AACGUAGGACGCAAGCGUUAUCCGGAAUUACUGGGCGUAAAGCGCGUGUAGGCGGUUAGAUAAGUCACUGUUGAAAGCUCCCGGCUAAACUGGGAGAGGUGCGGUGAGACUGUCUGGCUAGAGUAUGGGAGAGGGAUGCAGAAUUCCGGGUGUAGUGGUGAAAUGCGUAGAGAUCCGGAGGAAUACCAGAGGCGAAGGCGGCAUCCUGGCCUAAAACUGACACUGAGACGCGAAAGCAUGGGGAGCGAACGGG